GUAGUUACGGAUAGUGGUUUACUGAAGUGUUCCUGAGCCCGUGUGGUGAUAUCCAUUGAUGUCGGUUUUUGAUGCAGUACCGCCUGAGGGAUCCAAGGUCACGGGCAUUCAAUGUUACCUGCAGUGAUUUCUCCAGAUUCUCUGAACCUUUUGAUGAUAUUACAGACCUUAGAUGGCGAAAUCCUUAAAUUCCUCGCAAAAUCUCGUUGACAAAUGUUGUUCUUAAACUGUUCGACAAUUUGCUCACGCAUUUGUUCACAAAGUGGUGACCCUCGCCCCAUCCUUGUUUGUGAAUGACUGAGCAUUUCAUGGAAGCUGCUUUUAUACCCAACCACGGCACCCACCUGUUCCCAGUUAGCCUUUUCACCUGUGGGAUGUUCCAAAUAAGUGUUCCUCAACUUUCUCUGUCUUUUUUUGCCACUUGUGUCAGCUUUUUUGAAACAUGUUGCAGACAUCAAAUUCCAAAUGAGCUAAUAUUUGCAAAAAAUAACAAAAGUUUUCCAGUUCGACUGUCUUUGCAGUCUAUUCAAUUGAAUAUAGGUUGAAAAGGAUUAGCAAGUUGUAUUGUAUUCUGUUUUUAUUUACCAUUUACACAACGUGCCAACUUCACCGGUUUUGGGGUUUGUACAUAAGGCGCUUUGAGUUACUAUUGACACAGCCCGGGCGCAUGUCAGUGCACAUUCAUGUGUGCGCUGCGCUGAGCGCACCUCCGGGAGCGCUGCCAGGCUGCAGCAAGCAGCUGCAAUCAAUCCCCGGCAAUCAACACACCUGAAGCUGAUGAUGAGACCUGCCUUCAUAAGCCAGCACAACCUGCUAUCCGGGCCAGAACGUAGUCAUCUGUUUCUGUACAAUCUCGACCUCCCGCCUGGACACGUACCUCUCUCCUCCCCUCGACCUCACGUCAGCUCACGGACCUCCGAGCCAGCCUAGACCCACUUGGACUUCCGCCUCUCGCUCAACACUCCAGGCGCAGAAUGCCUCUUACCUGCGCUGACUCGUACGUAAUGGUCUUGGUCUCAGUGUGAACUAAGGGAAUGUCCUUGUAGGCCACGGUUCCUCGGAGAGAAUUGGUGACAUCUGAGAUGGUGAUUGUCUGGGUCUUCAACAAUGGAGACUGUAAAGGUGAACAGAGUUAGACACCAUGUUUUAUUCAACAACGAGGCAUUUUACUGUACAUUAUUUGGUUUCAUAAUUAAUGGUCUUGCAACAAAACCAACUAAUCCAUUAAUUUGGAAAAAAGUAAUGUCACAAUUACUAUCUUACCAAUAUGUUUAUCAUUUUUUAAAGGAAAAGCUGUCAGUGUGUAAAA